CCGGAUAGCAUACGAAUAUCGCAUGAUAUUUUUAUUAAAGAAUUUCGGUUAUCGAUGGGGAUGCGUUCCAUUAGUUUGUUGGCGGGGUAACGGCCCACCAAGACUACGAUGGAUAGGGGUUCUGAGAGGAAGGUCCCCCACAUUGGAACUGAGACACGGUCCAAACUCCUACGGGAGGCAGCAGUGAGGAAUAUUGGUCAAUGGGCGAGAGCCUGAACCAGCCAAGUAGCGUGAAGGAUGAAGGCUCUAUGGGUCGUAAACUUCUUUUAUAUGGGAAUAAAGUUUUCCACGUGUGGAAUUUUGUAUGUACCAUAUGAAUAAGGAUCGGCUAACUCCGUGCCAGCAGCCGCGGUAAUACGGAGGAUCCGAGCGUUAUCCGGAUUUAUUGGGUUUAAAGGGAGCGUAGGUGGAUUGUUAAGUCAGUUGUGAAAGUUUGCGGCUCAACCGUAAAAUUGCAGUUGAAACUGGCAGUCUUGAGUACAGUAGAGGUGGGCGGAAUUCGUGGUGUAGCGGUGAAAUGCUUA
rnacentral:rRNA from 1 species